rnacentral:rRNA from 1 species
CCUACGGGAGACAGCAGUGAGGAAUAUUGGUCAAUGGGCGGGAGCCUGAACCAGCCAAGCCGCGUGAGGGAAGAAGGUACAGCGUAUCGUAAACCUCUUUUGUCAGGGAACAAAGGCGGGGACUAGUCCCCGGAUGAGGGUACCUGAAGAAAAAGCAUCGGCUAACUCCGUGCCAGCAGCCGCGGUAAUACGGAGGAUGCGAGCGUUAUCCGGAUUUAUUGGGUUUAAAGGGUGCGCAGGCGGCCUGUUAAGUCAGCGGUAAAAGCCCGGGGCUCAACCCCGGCGAGCCGUUGAAACUGGCGGGCUGGAGUUGGAGAGAAGUACGCGGAAUGCGCGGUGUAGCGGUGAAAUGCUUAGAUAUCGCGCAGAACCCCGAUUGCGAAGGCGACCUGCUAGAACAUAACUGACGCUGAUGCGCGAAAGCGUGGGGAGCAAACAGGAUUAGAUACCCUGGUAGUC